rnacentral:lncRNA from 1 species
CCUCGCCAUCCAAGCCAACUCAACAGAAAAACAAUAUGUUUACAAAAAUCAAAUAUUCUUCUUGCAGCACUACAUAUAUGGUGUCAGGUUAAAAGUAUUCUCAGCACCCUUCCAAGGAAGUAAGACAGGGAUAACUGUAUUUUACUUGUGAUCUCAUCAUCCACAUUCAUACCAAUCGACUGGAAAAAAAUCAAAUUCGAAACAUUUAGAGCCAAAAGACAAAGAAAGGAAGAGAGAAAUAAGAGAGGACGUCAAGCGAAUGUAUGUGGCGUUUCAAGGAUAAGCUGGCACAGAGGACGCCACCAAUCAGGAUAUACCACACAUGAGAUAAUCGCGUGUAGCGUCCGAGACUAAUUACCGCGAGGAACACAAAUCAUCCUCAGGAAUUGGUAAUGAACGCGCAUCAAUCAAAACAAAGAAGUAGAAGAACAAAUCGAUCUGAUGGGAUGAGAUCUGGGAGCUCAGACAGCCAAGGGUUUGUCUGCAGAUGCUGCUGAAGAGGCGGCAUCAGAAACUCUAGUCCACAAAUUUGUCAUCACCGCUGCGGCCUCUCAUCGACCAUAGAAAUGAACAAGAAACAAACCAAAUUGAGAUUCAUCAAGAAUCAGAAGAGCGAUGCAUAUGCGGGUUGACUGGAUGAGCUGUUGCGGUUUGAAAAUUGUACGCAGUGUUGGUGGGGUUUUAUACAAAAAAAAAAUAGGAGGUGGGGAUUUGUCUAGGGUUUUCCGCUCGGGUGAUGCGCCCCGGCCUGCCAAAUAAAAGAUGGUCACUCAAUUCCAUUUCCAUCCACCAGUCGUUGAAUUUAAAAAAUAAAAUAAUGCUUGUUUUGGGUGAGAAAUGAAUUAUUUCCUCAGUUCAGGCCUCCAAAUUUCCUCCGCACAGUACUAUGAAAGAGCACAUCAGAAGAACGAAAGUAUUUAGAUCAAUCAUCAUCAGAAAGUUUUCAACAUCAGAAAACAUGAGAUAAACAACUAAAUCCAUUAUUUCAGGGCAGAAAUAAUAUAAAAUGAAGUGUCUCCUCAGUUCAGGUCUCCAAAUUCCUUCCGCACAGUGCUAUGAGAUAACACAUCAGAAGAACGAAAGUAUUUAGUUUGAUCAUCAUCAGACAGUUUUCAACAUCAUACCCAGAACCAGAUUAAUAAGAAAACAAGGACAAGGCUGAAACAAAAAAUGUUUGUCCAGUCAUCAAGAGGCAAAAACAAGGUGAUAAUAUAUAUCUAAUAAACACAUGAAUUAUAUCACUUUAUUUUACCAACACAGGUGAUCACGAGGAUCAGUUCUUCCACAUUAAAGAUUUUCAGAAGGACAGUACCAUGGUGAUUGAUUGUUGGGCUGUAAGAAAAUGUGUUCUAGGCAAAUACGUCUCCAUCAAACAAAAGAAUAGUCGACCAAAAGUGAAGAAAGAGAAUCAAGGAAUAGCAGAAGAUCAACUUGGUAGCCCUCAGGGAUUAUGCUUAUGAUUUUCAUCAAGGAAGAAAACUCAGGUCUCAAAGAUGUGCCAUGACUGGACUCACAGAACUGAACUGAAUACAAAAGGGCAAACUAAAAUCAUAAAAGAUAUAAUGAUAAGCAGGAGCAGUUUAGACCACACGACUAGAAGUAGGUGAAUCAACUGAUGAUCCCCAUAAAGUCUAGCCCCUUCGGGAAAUUCGAGCCCCAGAGAAAUAAAACAGAAGGAUCAACUAAACAAGGGGCAGAGUCACAUUAUUCAAAACAAAAAGUAAGUGAUCUUCAACAUAAUUUGCCUCAGAAUUGCAUCAUGACAGCAUGGACGCAUAGCGACCAAUCAGUCCCGAAAGAUGGUAUGAUUUAUCAGGUUUUUCAUCACUGGACAAUCAUAAACAAAAACACAAACCAUCAAGGUUGUUGAAUCUACAUUAUUUUAGGGUUGGACGUUGGAAUAACAUAUUUAACAGAAUGGCACACCAGAGCGGACCAAUCAGUCUGUUCAUGGUGACUAUAAUCAAUAUCAAGGAAAAAUUUAUUACCAAGAGUAUAAGAGCAAAGAGAGAAGGUGUGCAAUAAUCAAGAGGAUAAGAAGCAUGAAGUCACAGGUUCCUAUCAAUGCAUGAAAGCUAAUUCUUGGCCCAAUUAUAGAUACCAUGGUUAAUGCUUGGCUUGUAGGUACCAAAGAAGGACGAUUAGGCCCUGGAUGAGCUGUUGCAGCUUGGAAAUUGGAGGAAGCGUUGGUGGGAAUUUAUAAAAAAAAUACUCCCUCCAUCCCAAAAUAAGUGUCUCAAGCUUAUUACAACUUUGUACUAGAGCUAGUAUAAAGUUAAGACACUUAUUUUGAGACAGAGGGAGUAGGAGGUGAGGAUUUGUUGGGGUUUUCCGCUCGGGUGCUGCGCCAAAUAAAAAGAUGCUUACUCAAAUACAUUUCCAUACACCAGUUGUUGAAAAAAAAAUUAAAAAAAUGUUUGUUUUGGUUGAGAAAUUUAGUAUUUCCUCAGUUCAGGUCUCCAAAUUGCUUCCGCACAGCACUAUGAAAUAGCGCAUCAGAAGAACGAAAGUAUUUAGAUUAAUCAUCAUCAGAAAGUUUUAAACAUCAGAAAACAUGAGAUAAACAACUAAAUCCAUUGUUUCAGGGUGGAAAGAAAUAAAAUGAAGUGUCUCCUCAGUUCAGGUCUCCAAAUUCCUUCCGCACAGCGCCAUGAGAUAACGCAUCAGAAGAACGAAAGUAUUUAGUUUGAUCAUCAUCAGACAGUUUUCAACAUCAUACCCAGUACAAGAUUAAUAAUACAACAAGGACAACAUGUAAAGAAACGAUGCAAGCUCUCAAAGCUUAUUUGGCCAGAAACCAUACUGCCUGCACGAGUCUUAUGUUUCGGAUUUGGCUUUUCUUUCGUAUGCAUUCUCGUGUUUCCUGAACCGAAUCUGAAGCAGGUCAGUACAAUGCAAGCCCCAACCAUUGCACGGGGAAGCACAAAGCAGCUGAGUUGCCACCGUUUAGAAUCGGUGCAUCUGAGGAGUUUUCAUGUGCAGGCACGGAUAAUCUUCAAAAAUAUAGGAGAUGAUUUGCAGGGCCUCAGAGAUCUUGGUGGUUGUGAUCAUCAAAUGGGGUCGUUGCCCCAUCAAGAGUAGCAAAUAUUUUGAUAACAUCACUGGCUCCAUGAAAAACACGAACAAGCACAGCUGAAACAAUAAAAAAAUAAACGACUGCUAUCCACCAGUUGGAGGAUUGUAUGACGAGUCAGAAGUAGCUGGUUAGAGAUCUCAUUUUUUUUACAAAUCAAUGGGAAUCCGAAUGAUUUUCUUCUUCAUCCUCGCCAUCCAAGCCAAACCAAAAGAAAAACAACAUGUCUACGAAAAUCAGAUAUUCUUCUUGCAGCACUACGUGUAUGGUGUCAGAUUAAAAGUAGUGUCAGAUUAAAAGUAUUCUCAGCAUCCUUCCGAGGAAGUAAGACAGGGAUAACUGUAUUUUUACUUGUGAUCUCAUCAUCCACAUCCAUAUCAAUCAAUUGAAAAAAAAAAUCGAAACAUUUUUCAGAUACAAAAGACAAAGAGAAUGUAUGUGGCGUUUCCAGGAUAAAAUGGCACAGAGGAGGCCACCAAUCAGGAUAUACCACACAUCAGAGAUUCGCGUGUAGCGUCCGAGACUAAUUACCGCGAGGAACACAAAUCAUCCUCAGGAAUUGGUAAUGAACGCAGCAUCAAUCAAAAUAAAGAACUGGAUGAACAGACCGAUUCGAUGGGAUGAGAUCUGGGAGCUCAGACAGCCAAGGGGUUGUCUGCAGAUGCUGCUGAAGAGGCGGCAUCAGAAACUCUAGUCCACAAAUUUGUCAUCACCGCUACGACCACCCAUCCACCAUCGAAAUGAAGAACAAGAAACGGAACGAAUCGAGAUUCGUCAAGAAUCAGAAGAGCGAUGCGUAUGCGGGUUGGCUGGAUGAGCUGUUGCGGCUUGAAAAUUGUAGGCGGCGUUGGUGGGGAUUUAUAUAAAAAGAAAAUAGGAGGUGGGGAUUUGUCUAGGGUUUUCCGCUCUUCUUCGCGGGUGCAGAUGGGGUGGGCCGACGCAUGCGCCUGCUGGGC